CUGUGAAACUGCGAAUGGCUCAUUAAAUCAGUUAUCGUUUAUUUGAUAGUACCUUACUACAUGGAUACCUGUGGUAAUUCUAGAGCUAAUACAUGCUAAAAACCCCGACUUCAGGAAGGGGUGUAUUUAUUAGAUAAAAAACCAACGCCCUUCGGGGCUCCUUGGUGAAUCAUAAUAACUUAACGAAUCGCAUGGCCUUGCGCCGGCGAUGGUUCAUUCAAAUUUCUGCCCUAUCAACUUUCGAUGGUAGGAUAGUGGCCUACCAUGGUGGCAACGGGUAACGGGGAAUUAGGGUUCGAUUCCGGAGAGGGAGCCUGAGAAACGGCUACCACAUCCAAGGAAGGCAGCAGGCGCGCAAAUUACCCAAUCCCGAUACGGGGAGGUAGUGACAAUAAAUACUGAUACGGGGCUCUUUUGGGUCUCGUAAUUGGAAUGAGAACAAUUUAAAUCCCUUAACGAGGAACAAUUGGAGGGCAAGUCUGGUGCCAGCAGCCGCGGUAAUUCCAGCUCCAAUAGCGUAUAUUAAAGUUGUUGCAGUUAAAAAGCUCGUAGUUGAACCUUGGGCCUGGCUGGCCGGUCCGCCUCACCGCGAGUACUGGUCCGGCUGGGCCUUUCCUUCUGGGGAACCUCAUGGCCUUCACUGGCUGUGGGGGGAACCAGGACUUUUACUGUGAAAAAAUUAGAGUGUUCAAAGCAGGCCUUUGCUCGAAUACAUUAGCAUGGAAUAAUAGAAUAGGACGUGUGGUUCUAUUUUGUUGGUUUCUAGGACCGCCGUAAUGAUUAAUAGGGAUAGUCGGGGGCGUCAGUAUUCAGCUGUCAGAGGUGAAAUUCUUGGAUUUGCUGAAGACUAACUACUGCGAAAGCAUUCGCCAAGGAUGUUUUCAUUAAUCAGGGAACGAAAGUUAGGGGAUCGAAGACGAUCAGAUACCGUCGUAGUCUUAACCAUAAACUAUGCCGACUAGGGAUCGGACGGGAUUCUAUAAUGACCCGUUCGGCACCUUACGAGAAAUCAAA
rnacentral:rRNA from 1 species